UCUUUGAACGCACAUUGCGCCCCCUGGUAUUCCGGGGGGCAUGCCUGUUCGAGCGUCAUUUCACCACUCAAGCCUCGCUUGGUAUUGGGCGACGCGGUCCGCCGCGCGCCUCAAAUCGACCGGCUGGGUCUUCUGUCCCCUCAGCGUUGUGGAAACUAUUCGCUAAAGGGUGCCACGGGAGGUCACGCCGUAAAACAAGCCCAUUUCUAAGGUUGACCUCGGAUCAGGUAGGGAUACCCGCUGAACUUAAGCAUAUCAAUAAGCGGAGGAAAAGAAACCAACAGGGAUUGCUCUAGUAACGGCGAGUGAAGCAGCAAUAGCUCAAAUUUGAAAUCUGGCGUCUUCGGCGUCCGAGUUGUAAUUUGUAGAGGAUGCUUCUGGGCAGCCACCGACCUAAGUUCCUUGGAACAGGACGUCAUAGAGGGUGAGAAUCCCGUAUGCGGUCGGAAAGGCACCCUACACGUAGCUCCUUCGACGAGUCGAGUUGUUUGGGAAUGCAGCUCUAAAUGGGAGGUAAAUUUCUUCUAAAGCUAAAUAUUGGCCAGAGACCGAUAGCGCACAAGUAGAGUG
rnacentral:rRNA from 1 species